ACAGUUCGGUCCCUAUCCGUCGUGGGCGUAGGAAAUUUGAGAGGCGCUGUCCUUAGUACGAGAGGACCGGGAUGGACAUACCACUGGUGUACCAGUUGUCGUGCCAACGGCAUAGCUGGGUAGCUACGUAUGGACGGGAUAAAUGCUGAAAGCAUCUAAGCAUGAAGCCCCCCUCAAGAUGAGAUUUCCCCAUUAGAUGCCAGAGAGAUGAUCUGGUUGAUAGGUUCGGCGUGUAAGUGUGGUGACACACGUAGCGGACGAAUACUAAUCCAUCGAUGACUUAUUCAC
rnacentral:rRNA from 1 species